rnacentral:rRNA from 1 species
AACGAACGCUGGCGGCAGGCCUAACACAUGCAAGUCGAACGCCCCGCAAGGGGAGUGGCAGACGGGUGAGUAACACGUGGGAACCUUCCCUAUAGUACGGAAUAGCCCAGGGAAACUUGGAGUAAUACCGUAUACGCCCGAAAGGGGAAAGAAAUUCGCUAUAGGAUGGGCCCGCGUAGGAUUAGCUAGUUGGUGAGGUAAUGGCUCACCAAGGCGACGAUCCUUAGCUGGUUUGAGAGAACGACCAGCCACACUGGGACUGAGACACGGCCCAGACUCCUACGGGUGGCAGCCUGAGACCGCCAAGGCACACAGGGGAUAGGG